GACGAACGCUGGCGGCGUGCUUAACACAUGCAAGUCGAACGGAAAGGCCCUGCUUUUGUGGGGUGCUCGAGUGGCGAACGGGUGAGUAACACGUGAGUAACCUGCCCUUGACUUUGGGAUAACUUCAGGAAACUGGGGCUAAUACCGGAUAGGAGCUCCGCUUCAUGGUGGGGGUUGGAAAGUUUCGGCGGUUGGGGUUGGACUCGCGGCUUAUCAGCUUGGUGGUGGGGUAGUGGCGUACCAAGGCUUUGACGGGUAGCCGGCCUGAGAGGGUGACCGGCCACAUUGGGACUGAGAUACGGCCCAGACUCCUACGGGAGGCAGCAGUGGGGAAUAUUGCACAAUGGGCGGAAGCCUGAUGCAGCAACGCCGCGUGCGGGAUGACGGCCUUCGGGUUGUAAACCGCUUUCGCCUGUGACGAAGCGUGAGUGACGGUAAUGGGUAAAGAAGCACCGGCUAACUACGUG
rnacentral:rRNA from 1 species